AGAGUUUGAUUCUGGCUCAGAUUGAACGCUGGCGGCAUGCCUUACACAUGCAAGUCGACGGUAACGCGGGGCAACCUGGCGACGAGUGGCGAACGGGUGAGUAAUACAUCGGAACGUCCCAGUAGUGGGGGAUAGCCCGGCGAAAGCCGGAUUAAUACCGCAUACGACCUAAGGGUAAAGCAGGGGAUCGCAAGACCUUGCGCUAUUGGAGCGGCCGAUGUCAGAUUAGGUUGUUGUGGGGUAAAAGCCUACCAAGCCGACGAUCUGUAGCUGGUCUGAGAGGACGACCAGCCAACUGGGACUGAGACACGGCCCAGACUCCUACGGGAGGCAGCAGUGGGGAAUUUUGGACAUGGGCGCAAGCCUGAUCCAGCCAUGCCGCGUGCGGGAAGAAGGCCUUCGGGUUGUAAACGCUUUCGGACGGAAAGAAAUCGCCAGGGCCAAUACCCCUGGUGGAUGACGGUACCGUAAAAGAAGCACCGGCUAACUUCGUGCCAGCAGCCGCGGUAA
rnacentral:rRNA from 1 species